rnacentral:rRNA from 1 species
GAUGAACGCUGGCGGCGUGCCUAAUACAUGCAAGUCGAGCGAACGGACGAGAAACUUGCUUCUCUGAUGUUAGCGGCGGACGGGUGAGUAACACGUGGAUAACCUACCUAUAAGACUGGGAUAACUUCGGGAAACCGGAGCUAAUACCGGAUAAUAUUUUGAACCGCAUGGUUCAAAAGUGAAAGACGGUCUUGCUGUCACUUAUAGAUGGAUCCGCGCUGCAUUAGCUAGUUGGUAAGGUAACGGCUUACCAAGGCAACGAUGCAUAGCCGACCUGAGAGGGUGAUCGCCCACACUGGAACUGAGACACGGUCCAGACUCCUACGGGAGGCAGCAGUAGGGAAUCUUCCGCAAUGGGCGAAAGCCUGACGGAGCAACGCCGCGUGAGUGAUGAAGGUCUUCGGAUCGUAAAACUCUGUUAUUAGGGAAGAACAUAUGUGUAAGUAACUGUGCACAUCUUGACGGUACCUAAUCAGAAAGCCACGGCUAACUACGUG